UGGGGAAUAUUGGACAAUGGGCGCAAGCCUAAUCCAGCCAUGCCGCGUGUGUGAAGAAGGCCUUAUGGUUGUAAAGCACUUUAAGCGAGGAGGAGGCUACUUUAGAUAAUACCUAGAGAUAGUGGACGUUACUCGCAGAAUAAGCACCGGCUAACUCCGUGCCGG
rnacentral:rRNA from 1 species